rfam:Gorilla gorilla gorilla genomic chromosome, chr8, whole genome shotgun sequence
ACUUGGGGUAGUGGCAUGCACCUGUGGUCCCAGCUCCAUGGGAGGCUGAGCGGGGAGGAAUGCUUGAGCCUAGGAUUUCUGGGCUGUAGUGCGCUAUGUCCAUUGGAUGUCCACACUAAAUUCAGCAUCAAUAUGGUGACUUCCUGUGAGCGGAGACUACCCAGUUGCCUAAGGAGUGGUGAACCAGCCCAAGUUGGAGACAGAGCAGGUUAAAACUCUUGUGCUGAUCAGUAGUAGGAUUGAAUCUGUGACUAGCCACUGCACUCUAGCUGGGCAACAUAGUAAAACCCUGUCUCUU